UAGCAUAUCAAUAAGCGGAGGAAAAGAAACCAACAGGGAUUGCUCUAGUAACGGCGAGUGAAGCAGCAAUAGCUCAAAUUUGAAAUCUGGCGUCUUCGACGUCCGAGUUGUAAUUUGUAGAGGAUGCUUCUGAGUAACCACCGACCUAAGUUCCUUGGAACAGGACGUCAUAGAGGGUGAGAAUCCCGUAUGCGGUCGGAAAGGUGCUCUAUACGUAGCUCCUUCGACGAGUCGAGUUGUUUGGGAAUGCAGCUCUAAAUGGGAGGUAAAUUUCUUCUAAAGCUAAAUAUUGGCCAGAGACCGAUAGCGCACAAGUAGAGUGAUCGAAAGAUGAAAAGCACUUUGGAAAGAGAGUUAAAAAGCACGUGAAAUUGUUAAAAGGGAAGGGAUUGCAACCAGACUUGCUCGCGGUGUUCCGCCGGUCUUCUGACCGGUCUACUCGCCGCGUUGCAGGCCAGCAUCGUCUGGUGCCGCUGGAUAAGACUUGAGGAAUGUAGCUCCCUCGGGAGUGUUAUAGCCUCUUGUGAUGCAGCGAGCGCCGGGCGAGGUCCGCGCUUCGGCUAGGAUGCUGGCGUAAUGGUCGUAAUCCGCCCGUCUUGAAACACGGACCAAGGAGUCUAACAUCUAUGCGAGUGUUCGGGUGUCAAACCCCUACGCGUAAUGAAAGUGAACGGAGGUGAGAACCGCAAGGUGCAUCAUCGACCGAUCCUGAUGUCUUCGGAUGGAUUUGAGUAAGAGCAUAGCUGUUGGGACCCGAAAGAUGGUGAACUAUGCCUGAAUAGGGUGAAGCCAGAGGAAACUCUGGUGGAGGCUCGCAGCGGUUCUGACGUGCAAAUCGAUCGUCAAAUUUGGGUAUAGGGGCGAAAGACUAAUCGAACCAUCUAGUAGCUGGUUCCUGCGA
rnacentral:rRNA from 3 species